AGAAUGACUCUCGGCAACGGAUAUCUAGGCUCUUGCAUCGAUGAAGAACGUAGCGAAAUGCGAUACUUGGUGUGAAUUGCAGAAUCCCGUGAACCAUCGAGUUUUUGAACGCAAGUUGCGCCCGAUGCCAUUAGGUUGAGGGCACGUCUGCCUGGGUGUCACAU
rnacentral:rRNA from 1 species